AGCAGCCGCGGUAAUUCCAGCUCCAAUAGCGUAUAUUAAAGUUGUUGCAGUUAAAAAGCUCGUAGUUGAAUUUCGGAAUCUGUCCGUCGGUCGGGCUUCACUGUCCGUACUGGUGUGGUGGGUUCUUACCUUCUGAAUAACCAGCAUGCCAUUAAUUUGGUGCGUUGGGGAAGCAGGACUAUUACCUUGAAAAAAUUAGAGUGCUCAAAGCAGGCCAGUGCCUGAAUACAUUAGCAUGGAAUAAUAAAAUAGGACGGCAUGGUUCUAUUUUGUUGGUUUCUAGGAUCACCGUAAUGAUUAAUAGGGAUAGUCGGGGGCAUUAGUAUUCAAUUGUCAGAGGUGAAAUUCUUGGAUUUAUUGAAGACUAACUUCUGCGAAAGCAUUUGCCAAGGAUGUUUUCAUUAAUCAAGAACGAAAGUUAGGGGAUCGAAGACGAUCAGAUACCGUCGUAGUCUUAACCAUAAACUAUGCCGACUAGGGAUCGGACGAUGUUAAUUUUUAAUGACUCGUUCGGCGCCUU
rnacentral:rRNA from 1 species